rnacentral:rRNA from 1 species
UGGUGGAGUGAUUUGUCUGGUUAAUUCCGAUAACGAACGAGACUCUGUCCUGCUAAAUAGUUGUCGUGUCCUUUGUUGCGCGGCAAUUUCUUCUUAGAGGGACUGGCGGCGUCUAGCCGCACGAGAUUGAGCAAUAACA